AAUGAGAAAAUAGGAGCAGCCAGAGGUCCUCAGGAGCCUAGUCAAGACAUUAUCAGGUGAAACAUCAAGUAGGAGACAACCCAGCAUAUAGUCAGUCCACAAGUAGGUGUCAUCUGCACCAAGAGGUGGUCCAUUCGCUUUCUUCACUGCAGAUGACUUGUCUACCUGGAAGCUUCCUUACAAGGGGAGAAAUCAUUUAAAAUAAACCUGAGGAUAUUGGGCUGUUUCAAAGAACUUGCUGAAAGCUAUGGACCUCAUCCUUAAAAAAUGCACACAAAAAUAAAACGCCAAGCUGGGGAAUUGGCUCAGUGCUUUCGAGCAUAAGAACCUGAAUUCAGAUCCCUAGCACCCAUGUAAACAGCCAGAUCCUCCUGUACCAUGGGUGAGGGGGGGAUGGACCCCUGAGGCUUGCUGGCCAGCCUAUUGGAAUCGAUAAGCUCCAGGUUCAGUGAGAGACCCUGUCUCAAAAAAAAAAAAAAAAAGGUAUUGAGGAAGAUGAAGA